GUGGCGUGGUAAUGGUUGACCAGGGAAAUGUCUGUGGAAUGGUAAUGAUUGACCAGGGAAAUGUCUGUGGCGUGGUAAUGGUUGACCAGGGAAAUGUCUGUGGCAUGGUAGACCAGGGACAUGUCUGUGGCAUGGUAAUGGUUGACCAGGGAAAAUGUCUGUUGUAAUGGUAAUGGUUGACCAGGGAAAUGUCUGUUGUCAUGGUAUGAUUGACCAGGGAAAUGUAUGUUGUCAUGGUAAUGGUUGACCGGGGAAAUGCUGUGGCAUGGUUGACCAGGGAAAUGUCUGUUGUCAUGGUAAUGGUUGACCAGGGAAAAUGUCUGUUGUCAUGGUAAUGGUUGACCAGGGAAAUGUCUGUGGCAUGGUAAUGGUUGACCAGGGCAAUGACUUUGGCAUGGUAAUGGUUGACCAGGGAAAUGGCUGUGGCAUGGUAGACCAGGGACAUGUCUGUGGCAUGGUAUGGUUGACCAGGGAAAUGAUGUGGAGGUAAUGGUUGACCAGGGAAAUGACUGGCUGGUAAUGGUUGACCAGGGAAAAGUCGGUUGUCAUGGUAAUGGUUGACCAGGGAAAUGUCUGUGGCAUGGUAAUGGUUGACCAGGGCAAUGACUGUGGCAUGAUAAUGGUUACCAGGGAAAUGUCUGUUGUCAUGGUAAUGGUUGACAGGGAAAUGUCUGUUGUCAUGGUAAUGGUUGACCAGGGCAUGACUGUGGCAUGGUAAUGGUUGACCAGCGAAAUGUCUGUGGCAUGGUAAUGGUUGACCAGGGAAAUGUCUGUUGUCAUGGUAAUGGUUGACAUUUACUGUGGUCUUAAAUGACAAACUGUCCUAUAAAUGACUUAAUAAUCUAGCAAAAAAUACCUCAAUCCAGAUACGUCAUGAGGGCACAAAAUGAUCCAUUCACAAUAGGCCUUUUCCUUGACAUUACAGGACAUGACAGGCAUAAUCACCAGUGCUACAAUAACAUAUCACACACUCCGGGUUAUCAGAAGACAAAAAUGUAUCUCUGAGGCCUUAGUUGACUUAUAAACAGACCCUACAUUCUAUAGCCAUUCAUCUGAUAAGAACAGUAAAUGUUGACAAAUGUCCCUCAACACGAAACUCAAUAGAAUGCAAGUUAAAUGAAACACAUGAAUAAUAUGUACCUUAAUGUUUUUAACAUCAAGAUCAGGGGAGAGCGCGAACGCAGUCCCCCACUACCAGAAAUUAUGCAAUCGAGAUUUCCACAUUUGAGAAAUUCGCAGGGGUCAGCACAGCCGGAGUGCAAUGGCUGAGCCUCGCCCUGGGUGAACCGCCUUCUUGAUCACGGUGUCUCCCUUGCCAGGUAAGUAUGAGUUCUACACGUGGUAGAGGAGCACUCCUUCCAGGACAAAGGUGUUUGACCACGGUUACCACUUCUAAUACUGAUAAUACCACAUCAUAUUGAACAAGGUUUAAUGACAUUUA
rnacentral:lncRNA from 1 species